AGCGCGGUAGAGCAGUGGCCAGCUCGCAGGGCUCAUAACCCUGAGGUCGGAGGUUCGAAUCCUUCCCGCGCAA
rnacentral:tRNA from 1 species